UCACAAGCUCUUUCGGCAGAUGACAGAUGAUAUUGUUCUUCCAUCCUUCUUCAGUCAGAAUUAAGGGAGGAAGGGGAGAAAAAACUAUUGUAGAGCCUCUCCACUCUGCGACACGAUUUUUAUAAUUAAUAUAUACAACUGAGCAGAGAAAGACAUAUAAUGCUUCAUUAAAAGGACAGCAACAGUCACUGAGAAUCCCAUACAGCUCUUUCAGCCUAUGAGCAGAAGUGGAAUAUAUAGAGAGCAAGAUUUAAAGAAACAGAGACAGUUACUUGGAUCCAAAAGUGCAUCCUGGGAUCAUCCUGACAAACUUCAACUAUCUUCUUUUUAAGGAGUUCAGAGGGACUAGAUUAUCAACAUAACUGUUUAAAUCAAACCAAACCAGAACCAGUGAAGAUGAAGCUCUCCUUUCAGUAGAAUCCUGAACAGAGAAGAAUGAAAAAAAAGCCGGGGCAAGGAUGCCUGACUCACAGGCUCAAUGCCUGGGUGAAGCCAGACUGAGUUCCCUGGUCUGGAUAAUGGGGGCACCACUCAGGCUCUGGGAA
rnacentral:lncRNA from 1 species